GGUUGAUAAGAACAAAGUAGUCACCCACCGUGCAUGUCGGAGUAACCUACACAAACUCAAUGGUGUUUGGAUCGGGCACCAAGCUAACUGUAGAACCAGGCAAGAAACCUACCACAGCUCCUCAAGUCUUUGAGUUGAAAACUAAAGGGGAAAACUCCUCCACAGCCUGUCUGGCAAAAGAUUUCUACCCUAAGGAUAUUGAAAUCUCUGUUAAUAAAAUCAAACAAGAGAAUAUUACCACCAUCUUGUCUAAGAAUGGAUUGUACAGCGCGGUCAGUUUUCACAAUGUAAAGUCAGACGUCUUUGGAUGUGAAGUCAAGCAAAUCCUGGACAAGACUAACAUUUUCAAAGGUAUUAAGAAAUCAUUUGAAGAAGAAGCUUCUGCAGACAACCAGUGUGGGAGAACGGAUGGCGCUGAAGUUCAAAGCACUGCGCUAAUCAAUAUGCUCUCCUUAACUAUACUUGGGAUGCGGGCAUUGUUUGCCAAAACUCUGACCUUCAACCUGAUCUUGAGUGCAAAGAUCUUCAUAAUGUAAGACACCAGUGUGUGGACGAGUGAAGAUUUAUUGUACUGGGGCUUUUCUCUCCAUUAUAUAUUCAAUUUAUACAGCAAUAAGAUCGGCAGCAUUUUCUGGAUGCCUGCCCUAAUGUGUGUCUAAUAGAAAAACUGGAAUGCUGCCCUUAGCAACCAAUCAGAGCUUAGCUUUCAUUUCAUAAACUGCUCUGGAAAAAAUGAAAGCUGCAGUGUAAUUGGUUGCUGAAAGGCAACAAGGCAAUGAUUCUGUAAACUGGUUUUGAUAAAUGAGGCCCAAUGUCUUAUUCUUACACUGAAGUAAAUAAUUUAUAUGUAUCUGUCAUUUUGCUAAAAUAUUAAAUAAUGCUUGUAUGUAACUUUCAUCUGAAUUCCAGCAAUUUUUUGUCCUGGGCACUGCCCCACAAUAUCCAGUACAGAGCAUCACCCCUAUAUAUAGCUAUUACCUUUCACUGUAAUCUUGCUUGUGUUAAUAACUAUAAAAAUUGACUACAGAGUGAUCCAUGAAAAAGUAGCCCGCUCCAGCGAUAAUAUGACAAGAUGAACGAGCAAGUGGAUUGUUUUUUUUUUAAUUACCCACAAGUCACAAAAGAUGGUGAAAGUGGUCCCCAUUCACGUCUAUGCAUCUUUAGGCACGUCGGAUUAUGUUGGCUGAUACUGCUUACAGCUCUUCAAAAGUGAUGCUGCAGAAGAAAAAAUGUCCUGCUUUUUCCAACAAGAUGGAGUAGCAUGCCACACCUCACGGAACUCACUGGCACGGGUUCAUGAACUGUGAG